AUACGGAGGGUGCAAGCGUUGUCCGGAUUUAUUGGGUUUAAAGGGUGCGUAGGUGGCGUGUUAAGUCAGUGGUGAAAGCCUGCAGCUCAACUGUAGAGGUGCCAUUGAUACUGACAUGCUUGAGUAUGGACGAGGUAGGCGGAAUUUGUGGUGUAGCGGUGAAAUGCAUAGAUACCACAAAGAACACCGAUAGCGAAGGCAGCUUACUGGACCAUAACUGACACUGAGGCACGAAAGUGUGGGUAGCGAACAGGAUUAGAAACCCUAGUAGUCC
rnacentral:rRNA from 1 species